AGCGAACGCUGGCGGCAGGCCUAACACAUGCAAGUCGAACGAAGCCUUCGGGCUUAGUGGCGGACGGGUGAGUAACACGUGGGAACGUACCUUUUGGUUCGGAACAACUCAUGGAAACGUGAGCUAAUACCGGAUGAGCCCUUAGGGGGAAAGAUUUAUCGCCGAAAGAGCGGCCCGCGUUGGAUUAGGUAGUUGGUGUGGUAAAGGCGCACCAAGCCUACGAUCCAUAGCUGGUCUGAGAGGAUGAUCAGCCACACUGGGACUGAGACACGGCCCAGACUCCUACGGGAGGCAGCAGUGGGGAAUCUUGCGCAAUGGGCGAAAGCCUGACGCAGCCAUGCCGCGUGAAUGAUGAAGGUCUUAGGAUUGUAAAAUUCUUUUACCAGGGACGAUAAUGACGGUACCUGGAGAAAAAGCCCCGGCUAACUUCGUGCCAGCCGCCGCGGUAAUAC
rnacentral:rRNA from 1 species